rnacentral:tRNA from 2 species
UAGCUCAGUUGGUAGAGCAAAGGACUGAAAAUCCUUGUGUCCCCGGUUCGAUUCCUGGUGGCACCA